rnacentral:rRNA from 1 species
UCGAGAAUCUUCCGCAAUGGGCGAAAGCCUGACGGAGCAAUGCCGCGUGCGGGAUGAAGGCCUUCGGGUCGUAAACCGCUGUCACCCGGGAUGACUACAGACAGUACCGGGAGAGGAAGCCACGGCUAACUACGUGCCAGCAGCCGCGGUAAUACGUAGGUGGCGAGUGUUAUUCGGAUUUACUGGGCGUAAAGGGUUCGUAGGGGGCGCGUUAAGUCCGGUGUGAAAGCCUGCGGCUCAACCGCAGAACGUCAGCGGAUACUAACGUGCUAGAGGGCCGGAGAGGAGAGUGGAAUUCCUGGUGUAGCGGUGGAAUGCAUAGAUAUCAGGAGGAACACCAAUGGCGAAGGCAGCUCUCUGGACGGCAUCUGACCCUGAGGAACGAAAGUUGGGGUAGCAAACA